UGACGGCGGUUCCUCCCCCUGCCUUCAGUCUGGCGGGGGGAUUUUACGCUGUCACAGAGCGACGGGUCUCCUUCACCCGGAGCGCUGCAGGCUGCGGCCGAGGCUCCGGCGCUCCGGCUUUGCGAGACUCUACAGAU